GCUCAUGGGGGGGGGUGGUCCCCGGGCCGCCUGUGCUGGGGGUGGGGGGGCGGCUCAGGCCUCGGGCCCCCCGGGGAAAUCACGUGGGGGGAAGGGCUGCGUGGGAGAGGGCCCCUGACUGUUCCUAGGUUCCCCACACUUGAAACAACCGGAGUGACCCGCGGGCACAUGGCGACACAGACGUGGGCAGUCCCGCGACGGAGCGUUAUUCAGCAGUGAACGGGAGCGGUCACCGCGCUGCUGGGACGAGGUGGCGCGGGGACCUGAGGCUCCGAGGCGGGAGCGGACACAGGGGCCGCAUGCAGGCGGUUCUGCCUCCGGAAGCAUCUGGAAGAGGCACGGCCACAAGUCAAGGGGGAUGGAUCGCUGGGGCCCAGGGAGGGGGCGGAGGUGAGCGUCCUCCCGAGUGACGGAAAUGUUCUAAAAAUGGGCAGAGGUGAUGGUGGCGCGGCCCCGUGAUGUGCUGGAAGCUGUGCGUUCCCCGUGGUGUGAGGAUCACGCUCAGUGACGCCGAGGGGCCCCGGAGGGGAGAGCUGUGCAGCUGCAGGGGUGCCCGCCGCGGGGCCGGCCGGGGUCGGGGAAUGGAGCCCCUGGCCUCCCAGCGCCUGGCGUCCCUUGGGAUCCUCAUGGCUCUGGAGCCACAUCUGGGCGAGCCGGGGCAGCAGUAGACUCAUGGGAAGGUAGCAUCUGGGCCGCCUCUGGCUGGCGUGGGGGCCUCCUCUGAGGGGGUGCUCAGCCGGGGGUGCGGGGGAGCCGGGUACAGGGCCCCCCAGGAUCACAGCCCGGGGGAGGGGCGAGGGCUGACCUGGGUGAGCAGAUGGGGGUGAGCCCUGGCCGGGGUGCUUCCAGGACUUGGAUGGGGCCGUGGGAAAGCGAGCAGCCGGAGGCAGAUGUCAGGCCUCCGUCCCGCCCCGAGUCCUCCCGGGCCGCCAGCUCCACCAGCCCCUCUGCCUGCAGGAAGGCCCGGCCCAGAGAGAUGCCCUGGGUCGCUACCGGCCCCACGCCCCGGCCUCGGCAGCCUGACCCUCCCCAGGAACCCCGGGACAACUCACACCCUCGGGGCACCGAGAACCCCGAGAUGCGUCCCCAGAUCCCUCACUGCGCCCACCCCCGGGGACCAAGUGCUGGAGCUCACAGCCUCGCCAGGAGGAGACCCUCAGACCCAGGGGACUCGGGGCCACCCCAGGACCUGGCGACACCUGCAGGACGAGCUGGGCAGCCCCGGACGUGCAGACAGGUCAUCUGCAGAGAAUCCGGGAGCUGGGGGGGUUAUGAGAGGAGCCCCCCCCCCCAAGACUUCGAUGUGGACGGACAUUUCCCAGGGAAAACGCAGAAAGCGGAAAGGAAACAGGUCCUCUGCCUUAAUCAAAGUAGAACCUUCUGCACCGAGAAAAUAUCCAAACAUUGGAAGCAAUGUGUCCGCCGAGAUGUGCAGCUGGCAAGCCCAGGAGCCUUGUCGGGGAGCCCCCCUCCCUGCGCCCCCUCCCGCCUGGACCCUGGUGGCUGGAGAGCAGCGGCCACGGGAGGUGGUGGUGGGGGGGAAGAAUUAGGCCCUACACCUUGGGGGACCGAGACCUGUCUUUCUUGCUGGGGGGUCCCUCCCGGGUGGAUGGAGGGACGACAGAAGCGUGUGUCUGUCAGAAUGAAGGUCGGG
rnacentral:lncRNA from 1 species